UGUGGGAGCGAGCUUGCUCGCGAUAGCGUCAGCACAUUCAACAUCAAUGUGGCUGAUAAACCGCCAUCGCGAGCAAGCUCGCUCCCACA
rnacentral:misc_RNA from 1 species